AGAUGACAACAGGGUUUAUUUAGGAACCGGACCUACUCUUACAUGUUUUCUAUAAAGUGUGAUUGUGUGUGUGGCUAUAGACAGUGUGAGAUGCUCAAAAGGGUCAUAUGUGCGUCAUCAGAGGCCUUAGUCGCCCCACCCCCUCACCUCUGCAAUGCAAGGGGUUGUUGCUACAUCAGUCAUAUUUACCAUUCAAUAUCAGGAAACAUAGGAUAGCCAACAGCAUCAUGUCGCUUUCCUACAAGUGACGCGGUCGGGCCGAUCCAAUGCACGCUGCAGAAGCCGCUUACCUCAUUUUCUUGUCUCUUCUUCAAGGGGAUGAUGAGCGGCGGUGAUUUGGUGAGGUGGGAAGACAGGAGAAAUGAAACAGCGCUGUGAGGCGAGGGAGACCACAGCCCAAUGCUGCCCACUUGCGUCGAACAAGCACACCUGGUCUCUCUAUCUUUCUCUCCAACUCUCCUUGCUCUCUCUCUCUCUCUCUCUCUCUCUCUCUCUCUCUCUCUCUCUCUCUCUCUCUCUCUCUCUUUCUCUCUUUACCGUGUGUCUCACUAUAUCUGGACAAUAAAAGACAAACAGCAAUGAAUUUUCACUCUCAUAGUUUACUGUCGAACAAAUGCUGUACAGUAUCAGAAUCGCAGAUCAACCAUGAUCAGUCUUCGUGGCGUAGUGUUCAAUAUCGUUGUCCAUAGACCUGUGUGCUAAUUGAGCAGACAUGCCAACUAUGCAGGAAUCUCACUUAUCCUCCCUAAAGCAAACCAAAUCAUCUAUAAAGAAACAAAAAGCUGUGUUAAUAAAACAAUUCCUUCA